rnacentral:rRNA from 1 species
UGGGGAAUAUUGGGCAAUGGGGGAAACCCUGACCCAGCAACGCCGCGUGAAGGAAGAAGGCCUUCGGGUUGUAAACUUCUUUUAGCAGGGACGAAGGACGUGACGGUACCUGCAGAAAAAGCAACGGCUAACUACGUGCCAGCAGCCGCGGUAAUACGUAGGUUGCAAGCGUUGUCCGGAAUUACUGGGUGUAAAGGGCGUGUAGGCGGAGAUGCAAGUUGGGAGUGAAAUCCAUGGGCUCAACCCAUGAACUGCUUUCAAAACUGCAGUCCCUUGAGUAUCGGAGAGGCAAGCGGAAUUCC